GUGCUCACUUCAGCAGCACAUCAACUAAAAUUGAAAUGAUAUGGAGAAAAUUAGCAUGGACAUUGCACAAGGAUGAUAAAACUGUAUGUAUUUGAUUAUAAAAAAUAU